rnacentral:misc_RNA from 1 species
UAACUCGUCGAAUCUGGUUUAGUCGUAACGUCUGACGCGUUAAAAUAGUUGAAUCGAAUAGCUAUUAGCUCGAAAUACCUUUCAAAAAAACACUUUCGCUUGAACUAAUUCGUGGUAAUGCAAAAGUGUUUACGGCAGUGAAACAUAAAAGUGUUAAAUUGUUUAAGCAAUUCUGAUUUUUUCCUCGGUAUGUCAGAAGGCGAGGCUACAGCGUCGCAGAAGAAACAGCAGCCAUUUCAGCAACAGCCGCAACUUGGAGUAGGCUCAAUGGCGAACAUGGCAUGGCAAUAUCCCUCGCCAAACAAUAUUCACAGCAUGUUUCCUUCAUAUUCAGGGCAGUUAUAUGGAGCAGGAUAUCAGGGUGUGCCUCAUCAAGGACAAACAUUUAGUUAUUACCAUGUAAUGAUGCCUGGAUAUGGACAACCUUUUAAUCAACAGCAGAUGCAACAGCAGCAGCAUCAACAGCAACAACAGCAGCAGCAGCAGCAACAACAACAACAACAGCAACAGCAGCAGCAACAGGGCAAUAAUCAAGGGAAACAGCUACAUCAACAGCCACCUGUACCUGGAACACCUAUGUCUUUGGAUGACGAUUCGGAUCUUCCUCCUUUACCUCCUGGUCCUCCGCCGUCUGUACAAACGUCUCAACAGCAUAACGCUCAAGUUCAGUCAUCCAUACAAACUCAUCCAGGAUAUAUGUACAAUUCAUUUCCGUAUGGUUCUUGGAACGGAAUGCAUGGUGAUAUGUCUCAGUACACUAAUCAGAUUCGUUUCAAUAUACAAAACAAAAAAAAUGGCUUAACAUUUUCUCCGUCCGGUAAUAGUGGAGCUGCAAAGAAAAAGCGUAAGAGGAAUAAAAAUUUAGCAGCCCAGUUCAACAAUAGCUUUCAGGCAAAUAGUCCAACGACAAAUUUUGUACCUGCUUCCAAUUUGAAGACAGAAUUACCACCCUUACCCCUCGCGCAGCGUGAAGUAGCAGCUCCUCCUCCACCAACCGAAGAAUCCCCCACCCCUACUACACCUGUUAUUUCGAGCGCUAACACAGCUCCUAGUGCUGGUUCUCCAGCGGUAGGUACUACUUCUGUCGUGACAAUUCCUAGCCCGGUUGUAGAAUGGCCCGACAGUUUGAAGAAUUACGUGAACAGAUGUUACGAAAAAUGUAAAACAGCUGUUGACAAGGAUCAAGUUGAAAUUAUAUUAAAAGGAAAAAUUACUCGCGCUGCGAACGAUGGCUCGCUUUGGGUGAAGGAUUGGGACCAAGAACCUUUGCCUAGUAUUCACAGCGAACGUAUGACCAUGACGAUAAAGCCUCAAAAGCCGACGUUAAAAUUGAAUAAUUUAGCGAAUCCGCUGUUGAAUACGCAGGGAGGCUUGCGCAAGCCAGGUCUCUCUACUUCUCUCGGGGCUCGGCAUGGUGCGCGUCUCUCUGUGAAUCACAAACGGUCGAGGUCGAGGUCUAGGACUAGAUCAAGAUCGAAGUCGAGGUCGAGGUCGAGAACAAGGUCGAGGUCGAGGUCGAGGUCGAAAUCGAGGUCACGUUCAAAUACACGUAGCCCACCGUCACGAAAAUACAGGCGUAGUACAUCGUCGUCGUCCAACGUUAGUGAUCGGGAACACGAUUAUAAAUCGAUAAAAACGAAAAAAUCCGCUAAAAAUAAACAGAGUCACAGCAGCAAGAAAUCAAAGAAGACUAAACAGAUGAAAUCACAUUUCUAUUCAGAGUUUGGUUUAGCUACAGGCAACGCCGAGGAAUUAGGAUCCAAGGAGAAAUUACAACAACGUGCUGCAAGAUUUAACGAUAGUAUUUCUAGGACUGUCAGCAACGGUGUUAAAGAUGAUUCUACCACAGAUUUUGAUUUUACCGGACUUCAUAUCGUAGGAAUCUGUAAGGACAUUGAAAAACCAUAUUUGCGAUUAACAUCGGCUCCAGCUCCCUCCGCUGUUCGACCGGUAAGUGUACUCCAAAAUUCUUUGGCACAUGUCAAGAAGCGCUGGGUGGCUGAUCAAGACUAUAGAUAUGCUUGUGAUCAACUUAAAUCCAUUCGUCAAGAUCUUACCGUCCAAGGUAUACGAGAUGCAUUUACAGUCCAUGUGUAUGAAACGCACGCCCGUGUAGCUCUAGAAAAAGGCGAUCAUGAAGAAUUCAACCAGUGUCAAACACAAUUAAGGAUGCUGUACCAAGAUGUCGGGGGAGAAAACCGAUGCGAAUUCGUCGCGUAUCGAAUAUUGUAUUAUAUUUUUACCAAAAAUAGUCAAGAUUUAACAACUAUUUUAGCGGCUUUGUCGGAAGAAGAUAAACACGACGAGUGCAUAAAACAUGCAUUAAAAGUGCGUUCGGCUUGGUGGCAGGGUAAUUUCCAUGCUUUUUUCAAGUUAUACACUUCUGCUCCAAGGAUGGCAGCCUUCCUAAUGGAUUGGUUUGUUGCGAGGGAACGCAAGAACGCCUUGAAAUGCAUGAUCAAGUCCUACCGGCAAAAUUUGGCGGUUGAUUUCGUCGUAGCAGAAUUGGCCUUUGAAUCUUUGGACAAGUUUUAUGAAUUUGUCAAUGAAUUUGGGUUGGUUUAUGCUGAUCCAGAACAACAUCUUAUCGACUGCAAGACAAGCAGUGGUUCUGUAGGUGCUUGGUAAAGCAACAGCACUCUUCUUUCGUGGAAGAUGUUAAAACAAACCAAAUGCAUUUGUGCAUAUUUGUAAGCACACACUCUUGUGCUGAAUUUGUAUAUGCAUGUGUUUCUGAUAUAUGCGUAUGUCUCUGUACAAACAUACGCAUAUGCAUGUGCAUAUAUCAUAGUACACGUUGACCUGUUACGAUAUAAUUCUUCUUACUGUCCCCUAAUAUUGCCCGUUCUUCGUUGCUCGACGAUAACCAGUCGGACAACAAUUUGUAAAUGAAAAUUUUCCCUGCGAUAAUUUGUAUCCCACAGUACAUAAUCACGAUGCGAAAACUCUUCUAUGAGGCUGAUAAAUACUAUACAAACAAUAGGAUGAUUAUUUUAAUCGUCCACUACUACCUCAAUAAAACACUCGGUAUGAAGCCGAGAAAUCUCGUGGUAAAUCAUGGGAAAAGAAAAGGAGGAAAAGAGAAUGAUAAAUUAUCUUCAGGAAAAUUUCGUUUGGGCGGAUUUCGAAUUCUUCGACCACAAUCAGUUUCCCUUCUUCAUUGACCUCGUUACAUAUUUUUGCUGCCACAUUUGAUGACUAUAAACAUCUUUUCAAACCAUAUUCUCAAAGGAUCCGAAGUUUCUUAACUAUUCGCCAGUGCUUUCGCCCAACAAGGAUACCAUUUUUAUUGUUAUUUCGAGGGAAGAAGCUCCAAAAUUUCGUACAGUGGACUCAAAAUCUUACUUCACCGUGUAUCGCAGAAUUCGGUGAUUCUCUUUCAACCAGACGCGGAAAAUUGGAAUUGAUUCGAGAAUAUAUGUACAGAAGAGCCUAAUAUUGAACAUAAAAAUCAACAUCAAGGAUCAAGGGUUUUCUCAAAAGAUUAAAGAAUUUUGCGGGCGUAAAGGAAAGAAGUUGACACACAGGACAUCGUGUCGAUACAGGAAGAAACGAAGCAAGAAGUAUUAUUUCUUUUUUGAAUACACAACUAGAAGUCUCCUACACUGGUCAAGUAUUCGAACGUAGCAUCAACGAGCAUGAACUUUUUAAACAGAACAUAUAUAUUGGUAUUAAAUGCCAUUCGCGUGUGAUGAGUGAUUCUUUUUAUCUUUUUAAGUGUUUACCGCGGGACAAUACUUUUUUUCUUCGUAUAUAGUUUAUUCGCCAAUUCUCGAGUGUUGAGAAUUUUGUCUUUACUUACGAUGUUCAGACAAAAUAAUAGUGGAAAGAAGAAAGGACGUACGUUUCAUUGUAUAAUUAUAUUCGGACACGGUGUUGUGCAUAAUAAAUUAUUUAAUUUUUGGAUAUUA